ACUAGAAGAUGACUUGAAGGAUUCUAAAGUGAGUACAGCUGGUGAAGAAGGAAAGGUAAGAGAGAAACAAUCAACCCUGAAGGGCUCAAACUUAAAAUGCCAAUCCUCCAAGCCAGUGGCCACCUUAAUAAAAUCCUCCAGUUUCACCCAUUGGUCUCUCUGGUCUCCUAAAUAUUCUAUAACAGCUGUGUUUCAAUAAAACUUUAUUCAUAAAAAUAGCCUGUCUGGGUCAUGGUUUGCAGCUCCCUGGUUUAAACAAUACUUCCAAAACAUUUAAACGGUUAUAAAUAAAGACUAAUAUGAAGUAAUUAGAAAAUUAUUAUUUUGCUUGGGAUUGGCCUAGGCCAAAGAUUAAUUAGGCUAUUUUAAAAAAUAGUUUAUAUUUUAAAGCAAUUCCAAAGGAUUGUCAUACACAAUGACUUAUUUUCCUCCUCAUGAUAUUACUUUCAAAUAAGGAGACUGCUGAUGGUGUCAGGAAGAAUUCACAAUAAAAUUAAUGUGUGUCUAUCAGGCUGUCAUUU